UACGGGGGGAGCAAGCGUUGUUCGGAUUUACUGGGCGUAAAGGGCGCGUAGGCGGCCACCGCAAGUCGACUGUGAAAUCUCCGGGCUUAACCCGGAAAGGUCAGCCGAUACUGCGGGGCUAGAGUGCAGAAGGGGCAACUGGAAUUCUCGGUGGUAGCGGUGAAAUGCGUAGAUAUCGAGAGGAACACCUGCGGCGAAGGCGGGUUGCUGGGCUGACACGUGACGCUGGAGGCGCGAAAGCUAGGGGAGCGAACGGG
rnacentral:rRNA from 1 species